GCCGGGCACGGUGGCGCUUGCCUUUAGUCCCAGGUACUUGGGACACUGAGGUGGGAGGAUCACUUGAGCCCAGGAAUUCUGGGCUGUAGUACCCUGUGCCGAUUGGGUGUCUGCACUAAGUACAGUAUCCACAUGGUGACCUCCCAGGAGCAGGGGACCACCAGGUUGCCUAAGGAGGGGUGAACCCGUCCAGGUUGGAAAUGGAGCAGGUCAAAACUCCUGUGCUGAUCAGUAGUGGGAUUGCACCUGUGAAUAGCUACUGCACUCCAGCCUGGGCAACAUAGCGAGACACCAUCUCU
rnacentral:SRP_RNA from 1 species